AGCCGAAACGCCCCUGCGGGGGCGUCACUGUGAGAUGACCUACACAGCCUGAUGAUGGCAGGUCAGA
rnacentral:hammerhead_ribozyme from 1 species